CUAUGUUUGUACCUCACAUACUACACACACCAAAAUCAACUGCCUACACCAUCACAAUCCAUACUCAAUCAUCUCCUUACGUAACCUCUCCACCAAGCAUUCCUCCCCACCCUCAAAAAAGCUAUAAGCUCCACUAUUACUAGUAGUAGUAUCCACACAAUUUCAUCUCUCCCAAACAAGACCUACACAACAUGGACAUGCAUGUUCAUGCUCUCUCCCUCUCUUCUCCUCUAUUGCUUUUUGUCAUAGUUUUCUCACAGUUUGCGGUCCCUUCUACUUCUUCUCUAGAUUCUUUCAUAUACGUUGGCUGCUCGCAGCUCAAAUACAGCCCCGGCACUGCUUAUGAAUCGAACGUUAACUCGAUAUUAUCCUCGAUUGUGAACUCGGCGUCGAUUUCUAACUUCAACAACUUCAAGAUUUCCCUCCCUGGCUCGGCACCAGGGGACGUCGUCUACGGCCUGUUCCAGUGCCGGGGCGACCUCAGCAACUCUGACUGUCACGAUUGCGUUUCCAAUGCGGUGACACGACUUGGGGCCUCCUGCGGUGGCGCGUCUGGUGGCGCGUUGCAGUUGGAGGGUUGUUUUGUUAGGUAUGAUAAUACGUCGUUCUUGGGGGUGGAGGACAAGACUGUGGUCUCGGAUAAAUGUGGGCCGUCGAUUGGGGAUUACUCGGACUUGUUGAGUCGGAGGGACGCUGUGCUGGCGUAUCUAGCGGCUGGAGGGCAGUUUUUUCGGGUAAGUGGGUCCGGGAGAGUCCAAGGCGUAGCGCAAUGCGUACAGGAUUUGAGUGUGGGCGAGUGCCAGGAUUGCUUGUCGGAGGCGAUCGAACGGCUGAAAAGUCAGUGUGGGUCCUCAGCCUGGGGGGACAUGUUCCUGGGCAAGUGCUACGCGCGGUACUCGGAGCGUGGGUACUCAUCCAAAAGCGGAUGUUGGAUCCUUUUUUCGUUUUGCUUUUCCAGAAAAUGAUGAUGAAGUAGAAAAAACACUAGCCAUUUUCCUCGGACUUAUAGCUGGUGUUGCAAUACUGAUUGUGUUCCUGUCUUUCUUGAGUAAACUCUUCGACAGCAAUAAAGGGGCGGCUGGUAAAUAACCAAAACAAUUGAAAAAGACCCUGUUAAAGUUCAUCCUCUGGUAUUGAAAUUGCUUUCUUUGGAUUCUCUUUUACUUUAGCUUUAGUGAAGUUCCCUCAUCCCCCCACCCCACCCUACCCCAGAAGGAGAAAAAGAAAAGGUAAACUUGGAAUGUUCAGAUAGAGAGGAAAAAAGAAGGGAAAGAAGAAGGAAGAUUCGACAUGGUCCAUACCUCUACCCUAAUUCUCAUCAUGUUGUAGUUUGCAUGAAAUAAAAAAGCUUUACACUUUCGUAAAAAGUGUUGUUUUAUGGUAUUCAUUAGAGGUCGAUGUCACUUUCGGUAUCUUAGAUUAGGGACUUUGAUUUAAUCCAAAUUCUUAUCAUAGAUUUAUUGGUUCUGUCUAUUGAUAGAAUGUAUUUUGAUCAUGUUGCGCCAUCAUAUGAUGGUUAUUAAUUCAAUUUCAUUUCUA